GGAGGGUAUAGCUCAGUGGUAGAGCAUGUGCCUAGCAUGCAUGAGGUCCUGGGUUCAAUUCCCAGUACCUCCA
rnacentral:tRNA from 1 species